UGAUCAGUUUGACGUCCAUGAGUCACUUGUGCCGGUUUAACCUCCUGUCACUAUUUUCUGUGCAUAUUUUGGAGGGUCUUAUAAUAGAAGCCCAAAAUAACAAGCAGAGGUUUAUUAUCAUUGUCUAUCCAGUGAGGGUAAAUUGCAUCACAUCUCUAAAUCCGCUGAGGGCUAAUCUAGGGUCAGUUUCACCUUAUCCAGAAUGGAAGUGAUCCUGAAACAGACAUCUGAGACUCUAGAUAUCCAUAUGGACCCAGAUCAGCAGGGGGAAGGACCAGAGGAGGAGGAUCAGUGCAUGGAGUAGCACAGGAGGAGGAGACCAACCCAGAUCUGUGGGAUGCUGUGAUAAAAAGCCAUGAAAAAUGAUCACAGGAGGACUGCUGAAAUAUGUCACAUCUGCUCUAUGCUCCCCUCAGCAUAUACUGAUCCAUGAGGGAGUGAAAGAGAAAGGACACUUUAAACAUAUAUGUGUCACAGAGUUUCUCUUUUUACAAAUUCACAUCAGAACCUUCUCUCAUCAGCACACUGGAAAUUAUAUCAAAUAUGGUUGUUUGAUCCUGUUUGCAUGUCCUGAGGGUUAUUGAAUAGGUACAUAUUUAAGUUUUCUUGAGCCAAAAUGUUUUUCUCUCACUUUUGGACAGGCAACAAGAGCAAAAUGAACAGAAAAUGGAAAUAGUACUGAGUAGGUUUUAAAUUUCAACUAACUCAAUGAUCUUUCACUUUUAGGAGGGAGAAUUUUCACAAAAGACUUUGCUUUUUAAUUGCACAGGGAAAAAAACAGGAUGUGUGACAGUAUUUCUCCUUUCUUGUUUUACAGAAUAAAUAAAGUCAUGGAACAACAAGAGGAUGAGUUAAUGAUGACAGAAUUUUAAUUUCGGGGUCAACUGCAUAUCAGAGAUCUAAAUAUGAACAAAUCAAAUGAUCUGACAUGCAUUUUUUUAUUAUUUAAUAAAUAGAAAGUUUAAAAGAACAGCAUUUAUUUGAAACAGGGACUUUUUGUAACAUUAUAAAUGUCUUUACUGUCACUUUUAAUAAAUUAAUUCAUCCUAGCUAAAUAAAAGUAUUAAUUUAUUUCAAAGGAAAAAAAAAAUCUUACUGACCUCAGACUUUUGUAUGAUAUUUAUAUAAUAAAUAUAUUUAGUGUUUAUUUAGUGUUAUAGUUUAUAUAUCUUGUUUCACCUGUAUUCCGAAUUUUGCACUUAAUUGUGUUGUGUUUUAGCGCUAAUGGAAAUAAUCAUAAAAUUAAUAGAUAAUAUGAAGGCACAAAAAUAACUAAAAGUAAAACUGAAAUAAAAAUGUAUAAAAACUAAUAUAGAUAUAUAAAAAAAACCGAAUAAAAACGCAACAACAUUAUUAAAACUUAGAAAAAUAAAAACAAUAUAUAUAUAUAUAUAUAAACUAUAAUAGUAGUAGUAGUUAUACAACAGUAGCAGUAGUUAUGAACUCCUGAAAUAUGAAAGAGCAACCUGAAGUUUCUGGUCUGGAUUACUCUCUGUGCUCCGGUUGGAUACUUGUGAUCGUUGUGAUGUCAGCUUUUUUGAUUACAUCAGGAUCUGUGUGCUUGAGGAACGAUUUAAGUAACUAUGGCAACAGACCGCAGAAUAUUACGAGCAAACUUAAACUUCACGUCACUCUGUUCUUGGAGGCUUUUGUGAGAUUUACUAUAAUCAGCAGUUCAGAAGCCUCUCUGCUGGUGCAUCAGGAUUAGACAUCAGCUGGGCCGUGGGUCUCAGCGGGGUUAACGACAUUUUCACACCACGUCUAACCACAUUCUCCAUCUGUCAUCUCCCUGAGGUCAAAUCACCCAAAACACUUCAGUUAGGAAAUGCCACAAGACCUUGUUACUGGUGUGUAACUCCUAACACACAUAUUAACCUUCAGUACAUAAUUUAUCUCGCAUUGUGCUAUGAACCGGGUUAUUGUAGUUGGCUAAAACUAUUAAAAAAAUUAAAAAAACCUCUCAGGUUAAGCAUGUAACCAUGUUUCCCCGAGAGGAAACAAGACGCUGCGCCCCCUUGCCAUGCCUUCAACCUGCCUGGUUACGUCUCCUUCAGACAGCUAAGUGGAUGGCGUAUUCAGCAGGUGCCCUUUCAUACCUGGGCACCUCGCCUAUGACGUCAUGGGCCAGGUGGACCAAUAGAUUGGCGUUGCUUCUCACAUGCUUCAGACACCGGUUAUUCAGGCUGCGUAUAAUUGUAAAGAAUUAAUCCCCAAUGUGCCCCCUAGGGGCCGCAGCAUGGAGAUCCAA
ensembl:lncRNA